rnacentral:rRNA from 1 species
CUACGGGAGGCUGCAGUGAGGGAUUUUGCGCAAUGGGGGUAACCCUGACGCAGCAACGCCGCGUGAGUGAAGAAGGUCUUUGGGUCGUAAAGCUCUGUCAACAGGGAAGAAGUUAAGAUAUAUUAAUAGUAUAUUUUAUUGACGGUACCUGUGAAAGAAGCACCGGCUAACUCCGUGCCAGCAGCCGCGGUAACACGGGGGGUGCAAGCGUUAUUCGGAAUUAUUGGGCGUAAAGGGCGCGUAGGCGGUUUUGUCAGUCAGAUGUGAAAGCCCGGGGCUCAACCCCGGAAGUGCAUUUGAAACAGCAAGACUUGAGUACGGGAGAGGAAAGCGGAAUUCCUGGUGUAGAGGUGAAAUUCGUAGAUAUCAGGAGGAACACCGAUGGCGAAGGCAGCUUUCUGGACCGAUACUGACGCUGAGGCGCGAAGGCGUGGGUAGCGAACAGGAUUAGAUACCCCAGUAGUC